rnacentral:rRNA from 1 species
GUAGGGAAUUUUCCACAAUGGGCGAAAGCCUGAUGGAGCAACGCCGCGUGCAGGAUGAAGGCCUUUGGGUCGUAAACUGCUUUUAUCUGUGACGAUUUUGACGGUAGCAGAUGAAUAAGGAUCGGCUAACUCCGUGCCAGCAGCCGCGGUCAUACGGAGGAUCCAAGCGUUAUCCGGAAUUACUGGGCGUAAAGAGUUGCGUAGGUGGCAUAACAAGUAGAGCGUGAAAGCGUGUGGCUCAACCAUAUACACAUGUUCUAAACUGUUAAGCUAGAGUAUAAGAGAGGUAGCUGGAAUUCCUAGUGUAGGAGUGAAAUCCGUAGAUAUUAGGAGGAACACCAAUGGCGUAGGCAGGCUACUGGCUUAUUACUGACACUAAGGCACGAAAGCGUGGGGAGCGAACGGGAUUAGAUACCCGUGUAGUCC